GACGCCCCUGCGGGGGCCGGCGCAGGUCAAAGUGUAGUAUCUGUUGUGAUACGCUUAAUAUCUGAUACGGGUUGUAUUUGCAGCAAAACACAUUAUACUUAUUGUUGCAUGUUGGCGGAGUGCUUAAAAACUGCUUCGCCUCCGCCUCGGAUCGGCCUAGUAUUGUACUAUCUGCGGGGUCGGCUCUAGUGUG